rnacentral:rRNA from 1 species
UGUAUAAUGGGUCAGCGACUUAUAUUCUGUAGCAAGGUUAACCGAAUAGGGGAGCCGAAGGGAAACCGAGUCUUAACUGGGCGUUAAGUUGCAGGGUAUAGACCCGAAACCCGGUGAUCUAGCCAUGGGCAGGUUGAAGGUUGGGUAACACUAACUGGAGGACCGAACCGACUAAUGUUGAAAAAUUAGCGGAUGACUUGUGGCUGGGGGUGAAAGGCCAAUCAAACCGGGAGAUAGCUGGUUCUCCCCGAAAGCUAUUUAGGUAGCGCCUCGUGAAUUCAUCUCCGGGGGUAGAGCACUGUUUCGGCAAGGGGGUCAUCCCGACUUACCAACCCGAUGCAAACUGCGAAUACCGGAGAAUGUUAUCACGGGAGACACACGGCGGGUGCUAACGUCCGUCGUGAAGAGGGAAACAACCCAGACCGCCAGCUAAGGUCCCAAAGUCAUGGUUAAGUGGGAAACGAUGUGGGAAGGCCCAGACAGCCAGGAUGUUGGCUUAGAAGCAGCCAUCAUUUAAAGAAAGCGUAAUAGCUCACUGGUCGAGUCGGCCUGCGCGGAAGAUGUAACGGGGCUAAACCAUGCACCGAAGCUGCGGCAGCGACACUGUGUGUUGUUGGGUAGGGGAGCGUUCUGUAAGCCUGUGAAGGU